UAAAACGUAGGAGGCAAGCGUUAUCCGGAGUUACUGGGCGUAAAGCGUGCGUAGGUGGUUGGACAAGUUCGGUGUGAAAGCGCCCGGCUUAACCGGGCGAGGACAUUGAAGACUGUUCGACUCGAGGGUGGUAGAGGGGCGUAGAAUUCCGGGUGUAGCGGUGAAAUGUGUAGAGAUCCGGAGGAAUACCAGUGGUGCAGACGGCGCCCUGGGCCAACCCUGACACUGAGGCACGAAAGCGUGGGGAGCGAACGGGAUUAGAGACCCCGGUAGUCCACGCCGUAAACGAUGCGAACUGGGUGCGCACUGGCCGCAAGGCCAGGGCGUGCCGUAGCUAACGCGCUAAGUUCGCCGCCUGGGGAGUACGGUCGCAAGGCUA
rnacentral:rRNA from 1 species